GAUGAACGCUGGCGGCGUGCCUAAUACAUGCAAGUCGAGCGGUAAGGCCCUUCGGGGUACACGAGCGGCGGACGGCUGAGUAGCGCGUAGGAACGUACCCCAAAGUGAGGAAUAAGCACCAGAAAUGGUGUCUAAUACCGCAUGUGGUCUUCGGAUUAAAGCCUUCGGGCGCUUUGGGGGCGGCCUGCGUAUGAUUAGCUUGUUGGUGAGGUAAUGGCUCACCAAGGCGACGAUCAUUAGCUGGUCUGAGGGGAUGAUCAGCCAGACUGGGACUGAGACACGGCCCAGACUCCUACGGGAGGCAGCAGUAGGGAAUUUUCCACAAUGGACGAAAGUCUGAUGGAGCAACGCCGCGUGCAGGAUGAAUGCCUUCGGGUUGUAAACUGCUUUUAUAGGUGAAGAUUAUGACGGUAACCUAUGAAUAAGGAUCGGCUAACUCCGUGCCAGCCGCCGCCGUAA
rnacentral:rRNA from 1 species